CCCUUAGAUGUUCUGGGCCGCACGCGCGCUACACUGUUCGACGCAGCGAGUCUUAACCUUGACCGAAAGGUUUGGGUAAUCUUCAGCAAAGUCGAACGUGAUGGGGAUCGAUCAUUGCAAUUAUUGAUCGUGAACGAGGAAUUCCUAGUAAGUGCAAGUCAUCAGCUUGCGCUGAUUACGUCCCUGCCCUUUGUACACACCGCCCGUCGCUACUACCGAUUGAAUGGUUUAGUGAGAUCUCUGGAUUGACGCUGGCUAGGGGGCGACCCUUGGCCAGACUGUUGAGAAACUGCCCAAACUUGAUCAUUUAGAGGAAGUAAAAGUCGUAACA
rnacentral:rRNA from 1 species